UUAGUAGAGACGGGGUUUCACUGUUUUGGCCAGGCUGGUCUCGAACUCCUGACCUCGUGAUCCGCCCUCCUUGGCCACCCAAAGUGCUGGGAUUACAAGCGUGAGCCACCGAGCCUGGCCCAUCCUGCUAUUGGUCUCAGGUUUCCAUGCCAGUGAAAUGUCACCUCAACUCCACUGUCCCUGGUGUCAGGCAAGCCCGAGGGACCCAAUUCUGCCUUUCCUCUGGAUUUUCCUAACCUGUUAAGAGUCUUGAAAGUUCUUAAACCAUAGGGGACUACCUGGUGCAUGACAGGGAUGCGACUUGGCGGCAGUCCCACGUGGAGGCAGGUCCUUUCCAGCAGUUCCUCCGCACCCAGCGCUUCGCGGGCCCAGGGAGCGGAAAAUUAGCCUCCCGAAAGCCAGGCGAGUCACGGUCCUGCCUGCGAAGGGCUCCCAGGGCGACCUUGGGGCUGAGGAGUGGGCCUGCUUCUGCCUUCUGCGCUUCUGCUGUGUGGUGACCCUCACCAGAGGACAGCUUCAUGCUCUUGGACUUCCCAGCCUCAAGAACUAGUCUUGCUCUGUUGCCCAGGCUAGAAUGCAGAGGCACCAUCUUGGCU